rnacentral:tRNA from 2 species
AUCCGAGCCACAAUGAUAACGCUUCUGCCUCGUAAGCAGUAGAUCCGGGUUCAAAUCCCGGCUCGGAUU